rnacentral:rRNA from 1 species
UACGUAGGGUGCAAGCGUUAUCCGGAAUUAUUGGGCGUAAAGAGCUCGUAGGCGGUUUGUCGCGUCUGCUGUGAAAACUGGAGGCUCAACCUCCAGCCUGCAGUGGGUACGGGCAGACUAGAGUGCGGUAGGGGAGAUCGGAAUUCCUGGUGUAGCGGUGAAAUGCGCAGAUAUCAGGAGGAACACCGGUGGCGAAGGCGGGUCUCUGGGCCGAUACUGACGCUGAGGAGCGAAAGCGUGGGGAGCGAACAGG